AUACUUACCUGGCAGUGAUGAUUCUAUGAUCAAGAAGGUGGUUUCCCCAGGGUGAGACUCGCCCAUUGCACUCCUGGCGUGCUGACCCUUGCGAUUUCCCCAAAUGUGAGAAACUCGACUGCAUAAUUUGUGAUUGUGGGGGACUGUGUGCGCGCUUUCCCAAU